UAGACGUGCUGUAUUGCCCAGAAGCCAUCGUGUCGCUGGUCGGGGUCCUGCGGAGGCUGGCUGCCUGCCAGGAGCACAAGCGGGCUCCUGAGGUCUACGUGGCCUUUACCGUCCGCAACCCAGAGACGUGCCAGCUGUUCACCACCGAGCUAGGUGAGCCCACACACCCACCCGGGCCUGCAUGGUCCCUGAGCUGUCCCUGCAGGACUCCAGUGGAAGUGAAAGAACUGGGCACCGGGGAAAAGCUAGGAUGUCCCACACUCCUACACCAUGCAGGGAACUCGGGCACAGGCCGGCUGGGCCGGGAUCAGAUGGGAAGCAGAAGCUCAUCAUGACCAGAAACUGUUUCCCUACGGAGAGCACUUGGAGAUGGCAAUGCUGAACCUCACACUGUAGGACUCACACACGACUCUAACGGGAUUGUAAGAAUCAAGUCACUCUCAUGGGAAGAAUUUUUAUAUGGGAAAGCGGCUAAAACUUUCAUUGGACUGGAAUGUUUGGAGAUUGUUAAAUUCCAAAUCAGGAACCACAAACUGCCCUCUAAUAAGAUAUCAGCUGUCUAAGCGUGUGGGUGCCGCCUUUCUGCCAGUAGUUCUGGUUCUUAAGAAAAGCACCAUAAAUCAGACAUGAAAAUUCUGGCUCCAAAAAUAGCAUUUUCUUUGUGCAAAUAAAAACGUGUGUAUCAAGUAUGACGUUCCCCCAACGUGGACACACUUGGUUCCUCAGAAAGCCAAGCCCGCUGCAGCUGCCACAUCCCAGGGCUUAUGGUGCAGCAGGUGCUUUUUUCAAGACAGGAAUCAAAGUGUUAGGAACACGGCAGACAGGUGACACCUGGAUACCAAAUGCAGGAUGAGGAGUACUGCAGAGGUCACAGGGAAGUCACAGAACAGUAAUACGCUAGCAGGGGCAUGGGGCGUGAAGAACAGAAGAAGACAGGAAGCGUUUCAGAGACUCCAAAGAAGAAAUCAGGGCCCACCACAGCUUCCCGGGUCAUUCACCAGGUGGCACCACUGCCGUCAUUUCAGCUUCUGGCCACUGGGAGGCGCUGCUCGAAAGGGUUUGCCCUGAGACUCCAAGAAGAAGCUGCGGGAAGGACAGCAGGGGCCCUGGGGUUUUAGCCUCUGGCCCAGGAGUUAUGUGUCCAUAACCAAAGGGAGCAUAGUCUGCACCCAGCUCUCAUCCCAUCAGAGCUGCUGCGACUCCCGCAGGUUCUUCUGGAACUGGUUUAGCUUGCCUGCAGGAUCAGGAGAGUUUGAGAAAAGCAUCUGCAAAAUGCUAAAGAGCAGAGCUUACCUCAUUGCCUGUCCCCAUCUCAUCCCAGGUCACCACCUGGCUGACCCCAGGUCCCCGACCCAACAACAACCCCUCCCAAGUCCCUAACUCCCUCACUUGGACUUGAGACCCUUCACAACCCAGCAGCGCUCCGCCUCCAACGUGACAUCAUGCUUUCUGGAAACUUCCCCGUAUGUCCCACUUUCCCACACUUGGUGCCCUGGAGCACCUUCCGGCCUCUACAUGCUGUACGUUCCCCUGUGAGCACCCUCCUCUCGGCCUCUGGCCAACACAGUCCCAC
rnacentral:lncRNA from 10 species